CAAGACAUGGUGCAAAGGAUAGCACGGCUCUCGUGAACGCUCGUGGGAAUCUGAGUGAGAGCAAAUCGGGGUUCAAUUCCCCGUGUCUAUG